CUUUUAUUCCCACAAGGCUACAGGAUAGGUGGAAUUGGAAUGAGGAGCCCUGUUUUACAGAGAAGGAAACCGAAGCUCCUGUGCUGACGGUCAGUUAGUUACAAAGGUCUUAAUCCAAAACUCUGAACCAUUUUGUUAAUUUAUCUUUCAGUAACAGUUCAAUUAAGUUAGACAAAUAUCCCAAAAAGCUCUUAGCUGGCCCUCAAGGCACUUGAGUUCACAGCCCAGAAGAAAGGAAGUAAAGACACGGUAAGGUAACUUUUCUUUGUUUCAGACUCAUUAUGUCAGAGAUUAAGAGAGAGCUCUUCAAAAUUGUUGGAUCCAACCCCCCACUAUAAAGUUGGAGUAACUGAGGCCCAGUGAGGGCAAUGGCUGGUCUGAGGUCACAAGUGAGGGAGGGACGAGACCAGACUCUCUCACCUGCCUGUUGCUGUCUUCACAGCUAUGAAAACAAACACAUGCGCCGCGCACGGUGGCUCACGCCUGUAAUCCCAGCACUUUGGGAGGCCAAGGCGGGUGGAUCACCUGAGAUCAGGAGUUCGAGACCAGCCUGACCAACAUGGAGAAACUCCAUCUCUAUUAAAAAUACAAAAUUAGCCAGGUGUGGUAGCACAUGUCUGUAAUCCCAGCUACUCGGGAAGCUGAGGCAGGAGAAUCGCUUGAACCCGGGAGGCAGAGGUGGCAGUGAGCCAAAUUCAUGCCAUUGCACUCCAGCCUGGGCAACAAGAGCGAAAGUCCAUCUCAAAAAAAAAAAAAAAGAAGAAAAAGAAAAGAAAGAAAAGAAAACAAACACGCGCUAACCUGCAAUAAACUAGUCUGGUCAGCCAGGGUAGGGAGAAGUGCCCUUUGGCCAGCAGUCAGAAACAAGUGCAUGGCAGAUGCAGAUUUGAACCCAGGCAUCCAAAUUCCUGGUCCAGUACUCUAGCGCGGCCUGGAUGGAGAUGGGUGGUGAAAUGGAUGGGAAGAUUUGUCAGUUUGCCCCAGCACAUUUACUAUCCUUCCCACCACCCCGCCCAGCACAUUCAACUGGCCCCUGCCACCAACCCCCUCAUUCAAAGUACAGACACUACUCAUUUUACAGACAGAGGUUCAGGAUGUUUUUGGAUCUGACAUAGCCCAAACCAGGGCAGAGGCUGUAGCAAGGGGAGGAAGCUGGGAAAGCCUGAGGGUCAGAGGGGACUGGAACAAUCAGGCUUGGCCAUGGCGGCUGGUGCUGAUAACCAUUUCUUGGCAG
rnacentral:lncRNA from 1 species